AAAAAAGAUUCACUUGAAGACGCGGCUGAAGGAAGCCGGAAGACGUGCGAGCGUCACGGGCGACGGGGCGUGAUGUAACCGUGGCAAGCCACCAAUAAGAGACGACCAACAACCCCCCCCUUUGCCCCCCCCCCCGCCUCCCCACGCGCACACAUAUUCCGCCCCCCCAGGAGGAGAACCAUGCGCUGAACUUGAACCGGGACCCUUUCCAACACCACCCCCUCCACACCCCGACCCCCCAAAAAACAAAUUUUAACCUGCAUCGUGCCAGGAAUCGCGAGAUUAUGCCACGGUCACUUAAGAGGGGAAAAAGUGCCGCCCCGCUUAGCGGAAGAUUAUCCGUUAAAAGGAAGGCGGACGGCCUCUGAGACGGAUGGAGAGAUUGCCAGACAAGUCAUCACGGAGAGGAUCGAUGCGGAAGGCCGAGCCGAGCGUUGCCUGUACAUCAAAGAACAAGCUGACCUUCAGUGUUUGAGCCCACCGCGCUAACUCACGUCACCCCCACCCGGCGCCGCCAGCCGCUUGUCAAUUUACAGCGACUUCAAACGCUUAAGCAUGUUUUGGCCGCUCCUCCUCGCGCCUGACUCAGCAAAGACAACGGACACCGUUUGAUCUGCUCGCGGGCAUUGGUGGCGGUGUUCCUCCCGUUGACAAAAAGCGCCAGGAAGCGGCGGCCUCCGGAGGCCACGGGACCAGACCCUGUUUAUCCUGAGCACAACCGGUGGACUCGGGGGGGGUCCGGGGUCCUGCCUCGCCCUGCACCUGGAACACCAAGUAAACACACUCGGCCAACACAUGAACAUCAAACUUUGAAAUUGAAGCAACACACUCAUUAUUGCUGCCGUCGUCUCGUGCAGCCGUAUCUGUCAGUAGCGUGUUUGAGUUGCGGCAUGACCCGCGACGACCUGGUCAAUACGUGCGUGCGUAACAAGUUAUUCCCUGUUACAUUUCUGUGUGCGCACACGCGCGUGUGAUUAAUCCACUGAGCAAAGACACUUUAAGCUGUUAAACAGCUGAGUGUCAAAGGGCUCUUGUGAGGGCCUUGUGGCGCCUGCACUGACCCCUCGAAUACACACACACGCACACAAACACACAGUCUGUAUAGACACACGUGCGCACCGAGAUUCAUCUCUGCUGCCCAGACGCAGUGGUAAACUCAGCUGUUGCUACUUCUCAGUUCCAGAGGACAUGCCAAGAGCAUGUGAUCAGGAUAUACGACAAGCGUGAGUGUGUGUUUAGCAAUACCGCUGUCUCUUUUGAUUUGCACAUGCUUAUUAAUAGCCACUUAUGAACCUUUGCAUUGAACCAUCGUUCAUCUUUCCCCGCCCCCAAACACAAAAGAGCUUGGUUUCGGUUUUCGAACAGCCUUCUGGAACGGAUUAUGGUUGAAAACCGAGGUAUGACUG